rnacentral:rRNA from 1 species
UACGGAGGGGACUAGCGUUGUUCGGAAUUACUGGGCGUAAAGCGCGCGUAGGCGGAUUUGCAAGUCGGGGGUGAAAGCCCGAGGCUCAACCUCGGAACUGCCCUCGAUACUGCAAAUCUCGAGUCCGAGAGAGGUGAGUGGAAUUCCUAGUGUAGAGGUGAAAUUCGUAGAUAUUAGGAAGAACACCAGUGGCGAAGGCGGCUCACUGGCCCGAUACUGACGCUGAGGCACGAAAGCGUGGGGAGCAAACAGG